rnacentral:lncRNA from 1 species
AAAAUUUUCAUCAUUUUUUAUAGAUGUGCAGUGCAAGUUCCAAGAAUGUUGCAAGACUCGUGAUUAUGAAAAAUGGACACAUUCCAAGAUCCUGAAUUAGAGGUAAAUGAUUUUUCUUCUAAUUAUUUCUAACCUUCUCCUUUAUGUCUUGGACUAAUAUAUUAAUUUGUUUCAUGUUCUUAAUAGUGAGUUUUUAAAUUUUCUAGAUGUGUGUUGCAAUUUCAAAGAUGUCUCAAGUUGUUGGCUGAAGUAUUUUUGAUCACAAAAAUGAACACUGUCAUUGGAAAGUAUAUAAAAGGUCUUAAUAUUUUCCUGUUUUUAUCUUACAUGAAAUGUUUUGAACAUUAUAUGAUGGCCUGUGAUCAAUAGUUUCAAAAAUUCCAGCAGAUUAUUGUAACCAUAGUAUGACCAUGUUACUUAUGACACAAAAUACAACAAAAG